UCCCUCAUUUUUUUUCUCUCAGCCGUUCCAUCUUCCUAAACAUCUUUAGGGUUUUUUACAUUGCAGCCGCCUGUUCUUCUCCGUGUUCAAUCUUCAUCUCAAUGGUACACACUCAAAACCCUAGCGCCUCCCUCACUUUUUCUGCAGAUCCAUAUGUUGGAAUGGAAGAGUUUCACAAUCACGAAACCCUAGCCCUCAUCAUCUUCCCUGUUUUGAUUCAAGAAGCUAGGGUUUGUGGUUUUGAUCUGCUGUUGCUUUGGUUAAUCUAAUAUUGGGAAACCCGUUUCUGAAUCUCAUUUCAUUCAGCCUGGUUCAGUGUGAUCACUAACACAAUGUUUUAUAAAGAGGAAUCGCAACGUUCAAACGUAUAACCUCUACCUCAAUUUGACCGAAGCUUCAAAUGAUGAUGGAAAUUCCUUUUUGCUGCAAAGAGGUUUCGGCGCAUUAUCUGCACAGAUUAUAUAAUUUCCCUAAAUGCUGAUGAUAUAUCAAAAGGCAACAGUGGUUCCGUAGGAAAGUUGAG